CGAGCGCAACCCUUGCCUUUAGUUGCCAUCAUUCAGUUGGGCGACUCUAGAGGGACUGCCGGUGUCAAACCGGAGGAAGGUGGGAUGACGUCAAGUCCUCAUGGCCUUUAUGCCCAGGGCUACACACGUGCUACAAUGGGCGGUACAAAGAGCAGCGAGCUCGCGAGAGUAAGCAAAUCCAAAAAAGACAGGCCUCAGUUCAGAUUGUAGUCUGCAACCCGACUGCAUGAAGAUGGAGUUGCUAGUAACCGCAGGUCAGCUAUACUGCGGUGAAUACGUUCCCGGGUCUU
rnacentral:rRNA from 1 species